UUUCAGUCGGAAACAUUGGAGAUAUUUCGGGAAAUUAUUGAGUUUUGCUGGAACGUUAACAGCCCAAACGUUACAAAGUCUAGCAAAUUGUGCGAUUCUCCACAUAACCUAGUUUAACGUUACGUGAUUAGUCAAUUCUCAUCGUUGGGCUACGGCACGUGAAAAGCAGAAUCUAAGACCUUCGUUACUGGAGAGAGCGAAUUGAGCAAAGCCCUGCGAUGGAUGGUCAUCAUUGGAAAGAAUUGUUAGCCGGGUCAGCAGGCGUUCAACAUGUCGGCGACGGUUCUUCAUCAGCCACAAUGUGGAACAUGGCGGAUGGGCAAGAUCAAUCACAGCAGUUGCAGGCAGCGAAAAUGGUUGAAGCAAUUCUAUUUGCUCAACCUCAACCAUCGCUGCGCCAGCCCUCGGUUGCAGCGUCGUUCGCACCCACUAAUAGUGCAGGCGCACAAUCGAUGUUACACCAAUUUAUGGGGAUGAAUGAGCGAAGUCAUUGCUAUGAACAACAGCCGGAGUUUUUGGACCUUCUAAAACAAACGAAACAUUUAGCGUUUCGCAAACGCACACAGCUAAAGAGACGCCCCAAACUCAGGCUCAGUAGCUUAAUAGCUAAAAUAAUAGACGAAGAGCAAACGGGAGAACUAGGGAGCAGAUAUGAACCAUCGCCAGGCGCCCGAAUGCAACUUUUACGAGAUCUCGGAGUUAUGAUUAAACUGGCCCAUCAAAAAAAGAUAAGUCCUCAGUCUCAACAGCGACUUUGUGAGGCAAUGACAACAAUGAUAGGCAAAGCACCAACGAAAGCUAAACUUGAGAAGAAAAAGGAGAAAAAGGAGAAAAAGAAGCAACUAAGAGAAAAUGAGAAGAAAGAGAAACAGAAGAAGAAAGGAUUCGCAGGAAAUUAAACAAAGAACCGCAGCAAUGUUGGCAGUAAAUUGUGUAUCAGAAUAGGGAACCGCGGAAGGAUGCUGUUCACCAAAACACAAUCGAUUACAAAUACAUUGAGUGGUUGAAUGUUUACAGUAGUGUGCGUGCUUAAUUCUUUAAUAUCAGCUUCGAACCAGCCAUUGUAGCUGCCGAGGAAUCUAUUCGGACGGUGCGUGACAUGAAUGGCCAAAUGCUUCGCUCGAUUAUAUUAUUUCCUUGUGGCGCUAUCGGUACCAAUAAAGAGCGAUGAACAAUUGCUUUCCUGA